GCCAGGCAUGGUGACUCAUGCCUGUAAUCCCAGCACUUUGGGAGGCUGAGGCAGGAGGAUUACUUGAGCCCAGGAAUUCGGCCUGGGCAACAUAGCAAGACCUUGUCUCUU
rfam:Gorilla gorilla gorilla genomic chromosome, chrX, whole genome shotgun sequence